AUUAGGGGGUGAGUGUGACCUGUCGUGUUUUACAACAGACAGGUCUCGGUAAUAUUUCUAAUAUAAUCAUAAGCAUAGUACAUAGGCUGUACAAUAUGAUGAGCCAUUAUUUUGAUAACAUAAUUAGCGCCCUCUGUAGUUACAGAAACUUUUUAUUGCAACGCCCUCGCUUGGUUCCUUAACUUUCCUGCAAUCACAUUCUAGCAUAACCAGCUACAUUGGCCAGGAACAUUCCAACAUACCUUGCAUUCCAGAAUAUUGUUAACACUUUCUGAGCUGCAUUGCGUGCUGCAUAACUUAGCUUUCGUGUAAUGACAAGGCAUUGCUAGAGACACUCAUCCACUUGCUUGCGAUCAGACCACACCUACAAUUUAGAAGUGCUCUGAUUAUAGCUCAACUACAGCUAGUUGGGGACAAUUUCCCCUUCGUUUGGUGGUGGCACGACCGUUGUUCAGCCUAGGCGACGUACAACUGUAUACCCAUUUGACUGUCGUUUUUUUGUAUAUAUAUUCGAGAGAGCCACAACUGUAUAUUUUGUAUAGAUUCAUCCGAAUAAAUUAAUCAAAUCUAGUCA
rnacentral:lncRNA from 1 species